rnacentral:rRNA from 1 species
CAAUAGCGUAUAUUAAAGUUGUUGCAGUUAAAAAGCUCGUAGUUGGAUUUGUGGCUGUCACGGGCGGCCUAUCACUUAGUGUUAGUGCUUGCCUGUGUCGCCAUCCUUGGGUGGAGCCCGUGUGGCAUUAGGUUGUCGUGCGGGGGAUGCCCAUCGUUUACUGUGAGAAAAUUAGAGUGUUCAAAGCAGGCUUAUGCCGUUGAAUAUGUUAGCAUGGAAUAAUAAGGUAGGACCUCGGUACUAUUUUGUUGGUUUGCGCACCGAGGUAAUGAUUAAUAGGGACAGUUGGGGGUAUUCGUAUUUCAUUGUCAGAGGUGAAAUUCUUGGAUUUCUGAAAGACGAACUACUGCGAAAGCAUUUACCAAGGAUGUUUUCAUUAA